rnacentral:rRNA from 1 species
GGCGAACGCUGGCGGCGUGCUUAACACAUGCAAGUCGAGCGGUAAGGCCUUUCGGGGUACACGAGCGGCGAACGGGUGCGUAACACGUGGGUGAUCUGCCCUGCACUUCGGGAUAAGCCUGGGAAACUGGGUCUAAUACCGGAUAUGACCUCCUAUCGCAUGGUGGGUGGUGGAAAGAUUUAUCGGUGCAGGAUGGGCCCGCGGCCUAUCAGCUUGUUGGUGGGGUAAUGGCCUACCAAGGCGACGACGGGUAGCCGACCUGAGAGGGUGACCGGCCACACUGGGACUGAGACACGGCCCAGACUCCUACGGGAGGCAGCAGUGGGGAAUAUUGCACAAUGGGCGAAAGCCUGAUGCAGCGACGCCGCGUGAGGGAUGACGGCCUUCGGGUUGUAAACCUCUUUCAGCAGGGACGAAGCGCAAGUGACGGUACCUGCAGAAGAAGCACCGGCUAACUACGUG